UUUAAUUCGAAGCAACGCGAAGAACCUUACCAAAUCUUGACAUCCUCUGACCCCUCUAGAGAUAGAGUUUUCCCCUUCGGGGGACAGAGUGACAGGUGGUGCAUGGUUGUCGUCAGCUCGUGUCGUGAGAUGUUGGGUUAAGUCCCGCAACGAGCGCAACCCUUAAGCUUAGUUGCCAUCAUUAAGUUGGGCACUCUAAGUUGACUGCCGGUGACAAACCGGAGGAAGGUGGGGAUGACGUCAAAUCAUCAUGCCCCUUAUGAUUUGAGCUACACACGUGCUACAAUGGACAAUACAAAGGGUAGCGAAACCGCGAGGUCAAGCAAAUCCCAUAAAGUUGUUCUCAGUUCGGAUUGUAGUCUGCAACUCGACUACAUGAAGCUGGAAUCGCUAGUAAUCGUAGAUCAGCAUGCUA
rnacentral:rRNA from 1 species